rnacentral:misc_RNA from 1 species
AGCGACGAGCUGCCAGCUCUUAGUGCGCCGGCACAUGCUUUUCCACGGGCGCCCUCCGCUCGACACACCGACCCCUGCCAGAGGCGUGCGGGCUCAGGGAAAGGCGGAGUGCCUCAUGCUGCUACAGACACAUAGCCACGUCCCGCCUGUCGCGGCACAUGUGGGCAAGCCGUCCAGAGACCCCCUCUCCCCACGACAGCGGCGUCGCCCUGGAGCAGGCCUGAAUACCGGAAAGCUGCGAGCGCUGCAUGCAGGCGCUGCCAACCGCAGCGGGCAUGGCGUAUCGCAUCCAGAGAAGGCAUUCAGAGGUGAGACGAGCACGACUGAUAGACGAAAAAGGCGCGAAGAGAUCCGCACGAACCAGCCCCACAGCGCAUGUGGGCGAAAUGCGCGGCAUCUCCUACGUCCGACGGGGUGAGCUGGUGCGGCGCAGGCGCCGGAAACGUGUCGAGAGCACCCCCCCCCCGGGACUACACCAUGGCGUCAUCGGGGCUGCAAUGUGAUGGGCCGCCUCACGGCACUACGGGAUGCCGCGGCGUGAGGCGACUGGGAGGGUGAAACAUGGGACACGCUGGCAGAGUGCGGGGUCUUUGAGGGCCCUGACCCGCGGCUGGCGGACUUCCUCCCUGAGCUCAUCCGGCAUGCGCCCCGACCACCCCCUGUUGACCGCACGACGGACGCCACCGCCUCCGCCCUGGAGCAGGACGCUGAGUGCGGCUCGCCCGGAUCAGGGCAUGCAGUCCCGCCAGGGUGCUUAUGGAGCCAAUCGCGCAGCACGCUUGUCGAGAAGGGGCGAGGAAGGGCGAGAGGUGCGCGUUAGGCGCGCGGCCCCGAUUCGAUGACAGGACGGUGUGUCCUAGACGUCGAGGAUGUAGCCGUGCUGCCGCUGGUGCGGGUGAGCGGCGGCUGCGCAUGCGUAUGUUCUCGGACCUGCUGCGGGUGUGGAAUGGGCGCAUUGAAGGUGGGUAAAAACGAAACGAAAGCGAGUGUGUGGUGUUCGUAAGCUCUGCUGUCUCUCUCCUAUUCAUCUGCUCCGGCGGUGGGCCUCGCUGCAUUUGCGCGUCUUCAUCGGUGCCUCCGAAACACCCCUUCAUCACCUCUCUCUCUGUAG